CUUGAUGUAAUCAAAGACAUGAACUUGACCAUCUAUAACUAUUGUAUUGAUUCUAAAGAAAUCUUGAUUUAAUCUAAUUCAAUAUUUGAUUAGAUUUAAUCAAUUUUUCUACAUAGUUCAUUAACUUUUUGAUUCUAACCUUAGGUCUAAUCCAAUUAAUAGGAUCUGAUUUGAGCUAAUCCAUGCCCCCAUAUUUUAUGCAAUGACAUUAUAUCUUAAAUCACAAUUCUAAAUUUAAUCGAUUCAAU
rnacentral:lncRNA from 1 species